GGGUCCGGACAUACCGAGGAUUGACAGACAGUUAACUUGCCCUACCUAUAGGAGCUAGGUUCUAAACCUAAUAGCUCUUUCAUGAUUAUAUGAUAGGUGGUGCAUGGCCGUUCUUAGUUCGUGGAGUGAUCUGUCUGCUUAAUUGCGUUUCAAAUUCUAUUGUUGAGUACCAGGUCCUAAGAGUUUCAAGCAAAUCUGUCUCUGAGUGUGAACUGUAUGUCUUCGGAUAUGCGACUAUCGCUCUAGACAACUAUGAUCUGCUUGUAGCCUCUGGUACUCUUUUGAACGCAACGGACGUGAUUGCAACCCCUUGUUGAGUUUGCUUCUCUUAGGAACUCUACGUCUGCUGAACCACCUACCUUAGCGGGUAGGUGGUGAGGUGGAUAAACUCGGGGGACUGCUGACUAUAACCAUUUCUCAAAACAGAGGAAGGUUGCGGCAAUAACAGGUCUGUGAUG
rnacentral:rRNA from 1 species